rnacentral:lncRNA from 1 species
UCCUCUGCCGCUCCUGUUGCCCACGCCUAUGUGUCCGCAUGCCGCUCCUCCUGUGGCCUGCCUCAUGCGCCUCUCUCCACUGCGCGUUCUCCAUGCCACGACGGCCGGUGAGCCGCCCUCCCUCUCCUCUGUGAUUUCCGCGCUCUCCAAGAGAGUUGAUAAAAAUGGAUGGCUAAAUUCAAGAGUUAGCCAACCUCUAAAAUACAAAAUCAUGUAAAAAACAAAAAUCUCUAACAGUCUUUCUAUAAGGUAAAUCAUAUGGCUAGCGGGACAUACAAGCUAUAUUUACCAUGCGAGAACUUCGGGACAGAUGACUUGCUAUUUUAGCAAACCAAAUACAAUAUUUGUUGGACUUUCUUUUCUCUUCCAAAAUAACUAAAUAUAGAAUACAUAACAUGAAUAACUCUUCUCUUGGAGUUGCUCUAAGUUGUCUAUUUUAGGAGAUGCUCUGAUGUUUCUAACCUAAACUAAUUCGGUGCACCUAGCAGGUGGCAUGACCAUAAAAAAAAAGCCAGGUGACAUGACUCGCAUGCUCGGAGUCGGAGUAAAGCCUUGUCAGGCCGAGUUUUUUUCGCCAUGGUUCAGCCAUAUUGUAAUCGGAUCAGAUCCUCACUCCUGAUAACAAUUGGCAUGGAUAUCUUGUAGAGAUCAAGUAUUGUCCAUCGCUUAUUAUAUAUAUAUAUAUAUAUAUAUAUAUAUAUAUAUAUAUAUAUAU